GUGUGUUCCGCUUUUGUUUCGCCUGGUAAUUUUUACUGGAGCAUGUCGCCAGCAGAGGGGAUUGGUGCUGACGUGUAGUUUACCUUUUGUUUUUCUUUUAUUCUUUCUCUCUGUGUCUUCCCGUCUGUCCCUAAAAAGGGGAAAUAAAACCCGGGUCUGUUGGAAUUCACCUUGUCGCGUGAUUUAGGCUACUUUUACGCUUUUCCAUUUUGAGUUUACCAGUUUCUGUUUUAGUUGGCAGUGGCACGAAGUGUACGCCACUGCCGGCUUUAGGUACAGGCAACACGGACAGCAUCUUGCCUGGGGCGCCUCCACAAACGAAAAAAAGUUGUGAUAUUUUCGCGAUCGGUUUUCUAUGGUCCAUUCGCACAUCACGUCAAUGAUAUCAUGUGACAGUGUGGGUCAAUUAACGUGGGUGCCCUGAUUCUAGUUUGUCAACUAGACAAAUUACCACUAAAAAGUACGAGAUGGGGGGCGGGGCGGCUGACGUCAGGUCGCCCCGCUGGCAGCCCCAUUUCUAACUUUGUACAGUACAAAAGCAAUUAGUAAAAUAAUCUUUAAAUAUAUCAUGACAUAUUUGAAUCGUUCCAAAUUUCUUAAUAAAAGUGACAUCUUGUACUGAA